AUGGAAAUCCCUCUCCCGUUGCUUCUCUCCACUUUUGCCAUUUCCGUGACCAUAUGCUAUGUCAUCUUCUUCUUCUUCCACGCCGACAAGGGGCGUGCGCCGCUGCCGCCCGGGCCAAGGGGCUGGCCGGUGCUGGGAAACCUCCCGCAGCUCGGCGGCAAGACGCACCGGACCUUGCACGAGAUGACAAGGUUGUACGGCCCGAUGCUCCGGCUCCGCUUCGGCAGCUCUCUCGUGGUGGUGGCCGGAUCAGCCGACGUGGCCAAGCAGUUCCUCCGCACCCACGACGCCAAGUUCAGCAGCCGGCCGCCCAACUCCGGGGGCGAGCACAUGGCGUACAACUACCAGGACGUGGUGUUCGCGCCCUACGGCCCCCGAUGGCGCGCCAUGCGCAAGGUGUGCGCCGUGAACCUCUUCUCGUCACGCGCGCUUGACGACCUCCGCGGCUUCCGCGAGCGGGAGGCCGCACUCAUGGUGAGGUGCCUCGCGGAUUCUGCUGCGACCGGCGGGGCGGUGGCGCUCGCCAAGGCGGCGAACGUGUGCACGACCAACGCCCUCUCGCGGGCCACGGUGGGGCUCCGGGUGUUUGCCACCGCUGGCAGCGAGCUUGGCGCUGAGGACUUCAAUGAGAUCGUGCUAAAGCUGAUAGAGGUGGGCGGGGUUCUCAACGUCGGGGACUUCGUGCCGGCGCUCCGGUGGCUCGACCCACAGGGGGUUGUUGCCAAGAUGAAGAAACUGCACCGCAGAUUCGACGACAUGAUGAACAGGAUAAUCGCCGAGAGAAGGGCCGGUGCUAUUGCUACCAAGGCCGGCGAGGAGGGCGGUAAGGACCUGCUUUGCUUGUUGCUCGCAAUGGUGCAGGAAGACAAGUCCCUCACCGGCGGCUCCGAGGAGGACAGGAUGACAGACACAGACGUCAAGGCGCUUAUACUGAACUUGUUUGUGGCUGGCACAGACACGACAUCGAUCACAGUGGAGUGGGCGAUGGCGGAGCUGAUCAGGCACCCAGAUAUCCUGAAGCAGGCCCAGAAAGAGCUGGACGCCGUCAUUGGCCGUGACAGGCUCGUCUUGGAGUCGGACCUGCCGCGCCUCAACUUCCUCAACGCGAUCAUCAAGGAGACCUUCCGGCUGCACCCAUCGACACCGCUCUCGCUGCCGCGGAUGGCCACCGAGGAGUGCGAGGUUGCCGGCUACCGCAUCCCCAAGGGAACGGAGCUUCUAGUGAACGUGUGGGGAAUCGCCCGCGACCCGGCCCUAUGGACGGACCCGCUGGAGUUCCGGCCAGCCCGGUUCCUUCCCGGAGGGUCGCACGCGGACAUCGACAUCAAGGGAGGUGACUUCGGGCUGAUACCGUUCGGGGCUGGCCGGAGGAUAUGCGCAGGCCUCAGCUGGGGCAUUAGGAUGGUCGCCGUGACGACCGCCACGCUGGUGCACUCGUUCGACUGGGAGCUUCCGGCAGGCCAGAUGCCGGACAUGGAGGAGACAUUUUCUCUGCUGCUGCAGCUGGCCGUGCCAUUGAUGGUCCACCCGGUGCCUAGGCUGCUCCCAUCGGCAUACCAAAUCGCAUAG
rnacentral:rRNA from 1 species